UAGACAUUUACCACUCAUAAGCAUUCGCUAUUUAUCAUGAGAAAUGGAAACUCACCAAUCUAUCGAAAAUAUUACUUAUUGGAAAGCAAAUGAUAGCUACUUGUACAUUUUAUGCCUUUGAAACUAUAAGGUGGAUACGGGCGGACGUAGAGAUCAAGUCAUUACUAUACUCUGCAAGAGGUUAGCAACGAUUGACAUCAUUGGAGUAAAUUUUAAAUUGAUGUACUCAUUGUGGGUGAUGAGUUGUUAGUCCACACAACAGGUGCAGUUUAUCAAUUUUAUGUAUAGUGACUUUGCAUAUUAAACUUUGAUAAAGAUCACAUGGGCCGUGAUAAAUUAGCUUGAGAUUCAUAUCCUUUGAUAUACAUAUGUAUAAAGAUGUACAACAUAAUGAAAGAUAGUUCCUUAUUACGCGUGGACAAAUUAGGAUGCAAAUUCUUAUGGGUCUUGUUUUAAUCCAAAAAAUUAAUUCCUUGUUCAUGUCUACUAAGUUCAAUUGAAACU
rnacentral:lncRNA from 1 species